UUAAUUCCAGAAUCCUAAUUGGGCAAUUUCUCCUAAAGCCCCAAAUUUUGUUUGGGCCUUUCUUCUCUCGCAGGCCCAGCUUUGGGCUACCGCAACAUGACGCUUCAUUCCCUUUCUCUUUGCCUCGUGCGAGAAGGUUGUUAGGGAAGCACCUUUCUUCUUCUCGAACCUAGAACUCCACCAAUGGGAGUCUUGCGGCGUGCACGGGAAAAUUAUUUCCCUUUCUCUUUGGUUCGCACACACUUCUUCAUCUUCAUGGACAAACCCAGCGUUGAGGUCCUUUCGUCGCGUCGCCAAGGAGAGUUUUUGCUCCUUCUCCGUUCCACGGAGGUCGCGGGGCAGAAAGGGAGAUCCCCUUCUCUUUCUCUUUUCCGUUUUGGACUACUUGUAGGGGAACCACUCUUCUCCUUCGUCUUUGCUCCAGAUCGCGCAUCCAACCCAGCCUAGGGUUAUUCGUCACGCGCGAGAGGCUAGGAGAGCACCAUUCUUCUUCUCCCUUUGUUUUCUUGGUGGUUCGUUUUGCAGGAGGGAGCCGUGAUCUCUUUUCUCUCUGUUCUUGCUCUGAUUCGCGUCGCAAGGGAGAGAGCUUUUUCCCUCUUCUCUUUGGUCUUGACAAGGGUUUGCAGGAAGGGGAUACGCGUUCAGGCGCAGUAGAGGCGAGGCCAAGGCGCGGCGUUGGUUUCUGGGUUUCGUUUGGGAUUUGGGUUUCCUAUACUCGCGUGAGACUCGCGAUUUGGGUGGUUGAUUUUGGUUUCCUUUUCUGCAAGUUUGAAUAGUGAUUUAGAGUUCUCCCAUUGCGACAUUGAGAUUGAGUUGUUCUAAAAUUGAAUUGGGGAUUUGCGUUUUGUUUCUGCAUGUUCUCGGUCUCGCAGGGAAGGGUGUUUCUGGUUCGUUUUGGGUUUGGAUUCUCGCCGUGGUUGCGAGGGCAGCGACAACCAUUACGGGUGGUGGUUGGCAGCGGAGUCGUGGUAGUUGAUUGUGGCGUCUUUGGGCCUGUAGGCCAGCGUUGUAUGUUUGGGUUGGGCUGGCAGAUCUUGAUGGUAUUAGUUAGGCCUGUAAAUUGGUUGUUUCGGCCUGCGUUUGGGUUGGAUUAAUUGGGCCUAAAGACCCAUUCUUGGGCAGUUUUGAAAUGGUUAAUAAUAAGAUGAGGGUUUCACCUGAACCUUUACCUUUUUUAAAAAUUUCAUAUCUAACUUUAAUAAAUAUAUUUUUAUUUCCUUUUCUUUUUUAUUAAAAAGACUUUAAUAAAUAUUUUUUAUUUUAUUUUCUUUCUUAUUAAAGAUAUUCUUCAUCACCUUUAUAACAAUCUAAUUUAAUUUAAAAUUUAAAUAUUAUUUAAUAUAAUUUUAUAUUUCAAUAAUGGUUUAAACCCUCAUUUGGUCCUCAUAUUUGUGUGUCAAUCUUAAGUAGAUCAUUGUAUUUUUUUCGAUCUCAAUCCGGUCCAUAAACUUGUAAAAAUGAGCCAAUUAGGUCUUCUCCGUUAAGUUAUCACUAACUGCGUCUAACUGUGCUGAGCUGUUAUUUUUUUUAUAUGACGUGGUAUUAUAUAUUAAAUUGAAUGGGUGAUCUGUUUUAUAACCAACAAUUCUACGUGGAUAUGUUAAAUUUUUAUAUUUUUCUACUGUCACAGGAAACCCAAAACCCUCCAAGAAUCGCCCCACUGGUCGCGGCGCCUCACCGGUCGCGGCGUCCUCUAGAUCUUUUAUGUUGGGGCUUUUCCAGGUGGCUCUAAUUUUCCGGCAAGCUUCAAACUUUCCGUCGCCGGCUACGAUUUAGAUUAUUUUCCGGUUUGAAUGGAGGCAGCUCGUAGAGAUUGGAGAGGUUAGGGUUUUAGGGUUCUUCCCAACAGCUAAAUCUGGAAAAGUUUCCAUCACAGAUAUCAAUAUGUUCUACAGAGCUGUGGCGGGAUACUUCCCUGAGUACUCCACCAUCUCCACCACCAACAACUAAAACCGUUUUGGGGUUGGAAUCGAAGAGAGGGGUAGAUGAGCAAUCAUCUCCUGAUAAGCACAUUCAUCCUUCUCAGUCAAUUGAACAAUUCCAUCAAGUACUAGUACUUUCCUCUUGAUUUCCCUGAGAAAGUUUGAGAAGCCAAAAACCAUCCAGAAACAACAGUGGAAUGACACUUUGCCUCUGACUCAGGGGCUGAAGCUUUAGCCUUCAAACAACACGAAGGAAUUUCCUUCUCUAUCCCACUCCCAUUACUCGUCUUCCCAUCCAUAGUCUUCGGGCAUUCCAACCUUUUCCUGCGCCGGCCUCCAUAUAUUAUUCUUUUCUUCUUUGGCUCCAGUCUCUGAUGAAUGAUGCGAAAGGCGGAGAGUGAAGCAGAAGCGAAGCGACGAAGGAAGAUGUAUAACAACUAACUCUAAUGAGUGAUGCGAUAGGCAGUGGCGUGAUUCAUUGUGGGUGGUGGCGCACGAUGGAGAAUGAUUGUCCAAUUAGAGGAGCAUGGUGGUAUGCCAUGGCGGCGAGGAUGGUGGGGAAUGAUACUGUUGCGGCGGCUAGCUUCACCUAAAAAAUUCCACGUAAUAUAACACUGCCACAUCAGCAUUUUAAGUGUGCACCACGUCAUCACAGACAUACGGCGUUAGUGAUAACUUAACAGGGAGGACUUAAUUGGCUC